rnacentral:lncRNA from 1 species
AGUUGUCAUCCUAAUAGCAAUUUUAACAUUUUUUUUUGUUUCUUAUUUAGAUAUGGCCUAUAAGACCAAAUGUCUGGCUGUCUCCAAAACAAGGCAAUGACCACACGUUCAACGCGGAUCAUUCGUUUUUUCAUCGAAAUUGACUCAUUUUAUCUUCUGAAUUGCUCAGGAAACCUGAUUGGCGUUACCUGUUAACUUCAUCUUGUCAUGCCACUGAAUUUAAAUUUCGUUUACAUUUUAUUUCUUGAUCUAGCCAUUUAGGUAAUGACCGGGAAGAUGCGGCCUAUACAUGAACAUCAUUUAGGCGGCCAGCAUCAUUCGACUACCCAACCGAGUCUCAACACAGCACGGAGUUUUACACUUUAAAUAUUUGGCUGUUCGCAAUUUGUGAUGGCGUUUCCUUGGACGAGAUAUGAUUUGGCGAGAAAAAUAUUGCGGACGAUUUCAUGCUGUCCUUUACCAUGGACCAAUCUCUCAUUCCAUCUGAGAACUUUGGAUAACUGAUUGGUGGUUUCAUGUGUUUCUAAAUUGACAUGACAGACUUUAUGAGAAGUAAUGUCCUUUCAAGAAAGAAACAAGGUCCCUUGUUUGCUAAUCCAAUAGCUGCUACCCUUGAAUCUCCCCUUUUACUUCCUUAAACGGGCCCUCUUGAUUUGAGGGUAAUCCUUUGCUACUUAUUGUGGACUUCAACCAUUGCCUGGAAGCCUGUAAACCAACCUUGAGAGCAUGCUGUCAUUCAAGACUGUUUAAUUGUGUAGUUAGCUAAAUUGCAAGUGCAUAUCUGG